UACGUAGGGUGCAAGCGUUGUCCGGAAUUAUUGGGCGUAAAGAGCUCGUAGGCGGUUUGUUGCGUCGGCUGUGAAAUCCCGAGGCUCAACCUCGGGUCUGCAGUCGAUACGAGCAAACUAGAGUGUUGCAGGGGAGACUGGGAAUUCCUGGUGUCAGCGGUGAAAUGCGCAGAUAUCAGGAGGAACACCGGUGGCGAAGGCGGGUCUCUGGGCAACAACUGACGCUGAGGAGCGAAAGCGUGGGGAGCGAACAGG
rnacentral:rRNA from 1 species